UGUUGCCAAGGAACCUGUUCCAGUCCACCCGCCUGCACCAGCCCCUGCACCCCACCACAAGGGCCAUCACCACCACCACCAUCCCCCCACCCCACCCCCAAGCCACCCUCCAGUUAAGCCUCCCACUUCACCACCAGUUAAGCCUCCCAGCCACCCUCCAGUUAAGCCUCCCUCUUCGCCACCAGUCAAGCCUCCCAUUCCACCAGUCAAGCCUCCCACUCCACCACCAGUCAAGCCUCCCACUUCACCACCAGUCAAGCCUCCUACUCCACCAGUUAAGCCUCCCACUCCACCAGUCAAGCCUCCCACUCCACCGCCUGUUAAGCCUCCGAGCCACCCACCGGUGAAACCUCCUAGUCCCCUACCCAUCAGGAAGGCUGUGGCUGUUCAAGGUGUUGUAUAUUGCAAGUCCUGCAAGUACAGAGGGGUUGGAACCCUCAUUGGAGCCUCUCCACUUGCCG
rnacentral:lncRNA from 1 species